rnacentral:rRNA from 1 species
CCUACGGGUGGCUGCAGUGAGGAAUAUUGGUCAAUGGCCGGAAGUCUGAACCAGCCAAGUCGCGUGAGGGAUGACGGUCCUACGGAUUGUAAACCUCUUUUGCCGGGGAGCAAGCUUCCGUUCGUGAACGCUCUUCUAUAGUCCCUGUAGAUAAAGCAUCGGCUAACUCCGUGCCAGCAGCCGCGGUAAUACGGAGGAUGGGAGCGUUAUCCGGAUUUAUUGGGUUUAAAGGGUGCGUAGGCGGGAUGCCAAGUCAGCGGUAAAAAUGCGGUGCUCAACGCCGGCGAGCCGUUGAAACUGGCGGUCUGGAGUAGGCGAGAGGUAUGCGGAAUGCGUGGUGUAGCGGUGAAAUGCAUAGAUAUCACGAAGAACUCCGAUUGCGAAGACAGCAUACCGGAGCAAGACUGACGCUGAGGCACGAAAGCGUGGGUAUCGAACAGGAUUAGAUACCCGAGUAGUC